rnacentral:rRNA from 1 species
AUUGAACGCUGGCGGCAUGCUUUACACAUGCAAGUCGGACGGCAGCACAGAGAAGCUUGCUUCUUGGGUGGCGAGUGGCGAACGGGUGAGUAACAUAUCGGAACGUACCGAGCAGUGGGGGAUAACUAAUCGAAAGAUUAGCUAAUACCGCAUAUUUUCUGAGGAAGAAAGCAGGGGACCUUUGGGCCUUGAGCUGUUUGAGCGGCCGAUAUCUGAUUAGCUAGUUGGUGGGGUAAAGGCCUACCAAGGCGACGAUCAGUAGCGGGUCUGAGAGGAUGAUCCGCCACACUGGGACUGAGACACGGCCCAGACUCCUACGAGAGGCAGCAGUGGGGAAUUUUGGACAAUGGGCGCAAGCCUGAUCCAGCCAUGCCGCGUGUCUGAAGAAGGCCUUCGGGUUGUAAAGGACUUUUGUCAGGGAAGAAAAGGGCGGGGUUAAUACCCCUGUCUGAUGACGGUACCUGAAGAAUAAGCACCGGCUAACUACGU